rnacentral:rRNA from 1 species
UACGUAGGGGGCAAGCGUUGUCCGGAAUCAUUGGGCGGAAAGCGCGUGUAGGCGGUCCGGUAAGUCCGCUGUGAAGGUCGGGGGCUCAACCCUCGGAUGCCGGUGGAUACUGUCGGGCUUGAGUACGGAAGAGGCGAGUGGAAUUCCUGGUGUAGCGGUGAAAUGCGCAGAUAUCAGGAGGAACACCAAUUGCGAAGGCAGCUCGCUGGGACGUUACUGACGCUGAGACGCGAAAGCGUGGGGAGCAAACAGG